AUGCACUUUGAUUUCAGGGUGGAGAUGGUGCUGUUUGCUGGUCUCCCUCAGAAGAUAAGGUUUCAUCAAGGGAAUGCUAGAAAGAACAGUACAUUUGAAGAAACAAAGAAUAUGUUCAAAGAAAAAUGGAAAGUGCACUACGGCUUUCAGCAAUGAUGUAACCCACCUCGAGCUGUGAAGAGAGGCAGGUAAGAAAUAAAAUAAUAGUAAUAAUAAUAGGUUUUCAAUGAAUAUCUUACAAAGUCUCAAUCAAUUUAACAUAGUUUGUGUCAGUCACAAAAAUGAAGUUUCUGGGGUAUACCAACAACUGCUUUCAAAGUACUGCACAAUUAAACAGGAUAUAACAGAUUUUUUUUCAAAUUUUGUUACAUAGUGUAAUCAGCUCUUUCCCCCAAAUAUUGGUUUCUGCAUGUUUUUAUUCCUUGCCUGGGGAGAUGGAAAUAAUGUUUUUGGAGGGGGAAGGAAUCCGCUGAUCUCAGUCCAGACCAGAACUCCACCUGCUUACUUUCAAGUGAAAAGAAAGCAAAUUCUCUUGCACAUAAUACAUUUAUAGAAAUGCUUAACUUAGCCCUACUUCACAUGGAAUCAAU
rnacentral:lncRNA from 11 species